GAUGAACGCUGGCGGCGUGCUUAACACAUGCAAGUCGAACGGUGAAGCAGGAGCUUGCUCUUGUGGAUCAGUGGCGAACGGGUGAGUAACACGUGAGCAACCUGCCCCUGACUCUGGGAUAAGCGCUGGAAACGGCGUCUAAUACUGGAUAUGUGAUGUGACCGCAUGGUCUGCAUCUGGAAAGAAUUUCGGUUGGGGAUGGGCUCGCGGCCUAUCAGCUUGUUGGUGAGGUAAUGGCUCACCAAGGCGUCGACGGGUAGCCGGCCUGAGAGGGUGACCGGCCACACUGGGACUGAGACACAGCCCAGACUCCUACGGGAGGCAGCAGUGGGGAAUAUUGCGCAAUGGGCGGAAGCCUGAUGCAGCAACGCCGCGUGAGGGAUGACGGCCUUCGGGUUGUAAACCUCUUUUAGCAGGGAAGAAGCGAAAGUGACGGUACCUGCAGAAAAAGCACCGGCUAACUACGUGCCAGCAGCCGCCGCCG
rnacentral:rRNA from 1 species